AUUGAACGCUGGCGGCAUGCCUUACACAUGCAAGUCGAACGGCAGCACGGGUGCUUGCACCUGGUGGCGAGUGGCGAACGGGUGAGUAAUACAUCGGAACAUGUCCUGUAGUGGGGGAUAGCCCGGCGAAAGCCGGAUUAAUACCGCAUACGAUCUACGGAUGAAAGCGGGGGACCUUCGGGCCUCGCGCUAUAGGGUUGGCCGAUGGCUGUUUAGCUAGUUGGUGGGGUAAAGGCCUACCAAGGCGACGAUCAGUAGCUGGUCUGAGAGGACGACCAGCCACACUGGGACUGAGACACGGCCCAGACUCCUACGGGAGGCAGCAGUGGGGAAUUUUGGACAAUGGGCGAAAGCCUGAUCCAGCAAUGCCGCGUGUGUGAAGAAGGCCUUCGGGUUGUAAAGCACUUUUGUCCGGAAAGAAAUCCUUGGCCCUAAUACGGUCGGGGGAUGACGGUACCGGAAGAAUAAGCACCGGCUAACUACGUG
rnacentral:rRNA from 1 species